GCACAUCGCAGCAAAAUGUCCAAAGGAGCAACGACCAGCUGGAUCCUGUUUCAAAUGUGCUGACGAGGGGCACACUUACAAAAACUGCCCUUAUAUUGUGAAGACCAGAGUUGGAGCCGUGAACCGGGAUGCCCUACAUGAUGACACCAAGGAGCUGACUCAGAGUUUGGAUGCUGUUCAGAUGUCCGAUUAGUUUCAUACGAAAGUCUGUUCUGCCUGAAGAAAUUAACGUUCAAGAAUCAUUAACGUAUUCAAGAUUUAAAGGAUUAGGAAACAUUAAACUCUUUACGUACGAUGAAGUAACUCCUAUACCUUUACUUAUUGGUCGUGAUCUCCUUGAAAUCUUUAAUAUAAAACUUAACAUGAACUGUAAUAAAGUUAAUAUAACUUCUGAGCAGUGUCAAAAUGAAAUUUGUUCGAAUAAAGUUUUUCUUUCUAACCAA